GAUGAACGCUGGCGGCGUGCCUAACACAUGCAAGUCGAGCGAUUCUCUUCGGAGAAGAGCGGCGGACGGGUGAGUAACGCGUGGGUAACCUGCCCUGUACACACGGAUAACAUACCGAAAGGUAUGCUAAUACGAGAUAAUAUGCUUUUAUCGCAUGGUAGAAGUAUCAAAGCUUUUGCGGUACAGGAUGGACCCGCGUCUGAUUAGCUAGUUGGUAAGGUAACGGCUUACCAAGGCGACGAUCAGUAGCCGACCUGAGAGGGUGAUCGGCCACAUUGGAACUGAGACACGGUCCAAACUCCUACGGGAGGCAGCAGUGGGGAAUAUUGCACAAUGGGCGAAAGCCUGAUGCAGCAACGCCGCGUGAGCGAUGAAGGCCUUCGGGUCGUAAAGCUCUGUCCUCAAGGAGAUAAUGACGGUACUUGAGGAGGAAGCCCCGGCUAACUACGUGCCAGC
rnacentral:rRNA from 1 species